rnacentral:rRNA from 1 species
ACUCAAAUGAAUUGACGGGGGCCCGCACAAGCGGUGGAGCAUGUGGUUUAAUUCGACGCAACGCGCAGAACCUUACCCAGACUUGACAUUGAUGGAAUCCUGUGGAGACACGGGAGUACCCUUCGGGGACCUGAAAACAGGUGCUGCAUGGCUGUCGUCAGCUCGUGUCGUGAGAUGUUGGGUUAAGUCCCGCAACGAGCGCAACCCUCGUCGUUAGUUGCCAGCAGGUAAAGCUGGGCACUCUAGCGAGACUGCCGGUGUCAAACCGGAGGAAGGUGGGGAUGACGUCAAGUCCUCAUGGCCUUUAUGUCUGGGGCUACACACGUGCUACAAUGGCAUCUACAGAGCGACGCGAAUCCGCAAGGUGGAGCAAAUCGCAAAAAAGAUGUCUCAGUUCGGAUCGGAGUCUGCAACUCGACUUCGUGAAGUCGGAAUCGCUAGUAAUCGAGGAUCAGCACGCCUCGGUGAAUACGUUCCCGGGCCUUGUACACACCGCCCGU